UCCUGGUGACCCACUGGCUGACUCGGAUUCGCCUCUCUGGCUCGCUCUCAUCCCACAUUAUUCAAGAUUUCCCACCUUGUACACUCUCAGUGUAACACCAUUUCACCCGAGUGCGGCCCAGAGAGGCGCCUCAGUUCACCCGGCACACACAAAGCAACAAAAGCAAAGUCACCCAGUCAUGCAUUCCAUGCAACAUUGUUGCAGCUUGUUAUGGCAACAUGCAGCUGUGACAUCUGUGACGCCGUGCCAGAGCUAACACAGCGCAAACGUAUGGAGGAGAGAAAGGGGAACAGAGGGCUCCUCAGGCCAGACAGUUUGGGAAUUAGGUGUACGCCAUUACAUAAGUGGAAAAAAAGAGCACUGCUUUAGUGCCAGAUGGUGUCCAGUCUGUACAUGAGAGUUGCUCGUCACUGUGCUCACAUAACAAGACAUACAACACACAUGACAAUUGGUGCUGUAAAUUUAGGAGGAGUGAGUGUGAUCUAAAGGUCUCUGUUGCAUUUUCACGACGAGAGUCACAGGAGGUUCAGCCCACAUUAAUACACUUGUCCAGGUGGCUGUUCUUGCUCCAGCAUCAAUAAGCGCCACACUGCUGAGAACAUGGAAAAGUACUCUGGCAUGCAUACAAAGCCACAGAGAAUGAGAUUGUGUCUCAAUCCCUUAACUUGUCACCAUGAGGACAGUCUUACUUUUGUGGCUCGAGACUUAAAAUUAAGUUUUGUUGCAUAAAGUUGAUGUAA